AGAGUUUGAUCCUGGCUCAGGACGAACGCUGGCGGCGCGCUUAACACAUGCAAGUCGAGCGAGAACCAGGGCUUCGGCCCUGGGGACAGCGGCGAACGGGUGAGUAACACGUGGGUAAUCAACCCUCGACACUGGGAUAGCCCGGGGAAACCCGGAUUAAUACCGGAUGUCCCGUCCGACCCUCGGGUCGGCCGGCAAAGGUAGCUUCGGCCUCCGGUCGGGGACGAGCCCGCGGCGGAUUAGCUUGUUGGUGGGGUAACGGCCCACCAAGGCGACGAUCCGUAGCUGGUCUGAGAGGACGAUCAGCCACACUGGGACUGAGACACGGCCCAGACUCCUACGGGAGGCAGCAGUGGGGAAUCUUGCGCAAUGGGCGAAAGCCUGACGCAGCGACGCCGCGUGAGGGAAGAAGGCCUUCGGGUUGUAAACCUCUUUCAGGAGGGACGAAGCCACUCAGGUUAAUAGCCGAGAGGGUGACGGUACCUCCAGAAGAAGCCCCGGCUAACUACGUGCCAGCAGCCGCGGUAAUACGUAGGGGGCAAGCGUUGUCCGGAUUUAUUGGGCGUAAAGAGCGUGUAGGCGGCCGUACAGGUCAGCUGUGAAAACUCGAGGCUC
rnacentral:rRNA from 1 species